UGUAAACAUGCAAUAUGUGUUUUAAAUGCAAGACAAGUUACAAAGAUUCCAGAGUACUACAUUCUUGAUCGAUGGACAAAAGAGGCAACCAAAAGGCCAAUUUUUGAUAUGCAUGGUAACUUCCUUGAAGAAUGUAGGAAGAUGAACACAACAACUAAAAUGUUAGGGGAAGUCUGGUCGGAGAUUUUUAACUGUGUAGGCCUUGCAGAGGGAAAUGAGGAAAAUUUGCAACAAUUUCUCGAUAAUCUUAGAGAUUUUAGUAAGAAUUUGGUAGAAAAAGGAAAGUGUGUGCCAAUGACAAAAACUCAAGAGAUGGAGCUUUUUGUUGGUCCUAGUGCGUCUUCUAACCUCAAUAUCCAAAAUCCAAUACCAUCAAAGAAUAAAGGCAAGAGACAUAGAAUAGUAGGAGAAAAGGAGGCAGCAAUUGAGCAAAGUCAGAAACCCAAAAGAAAAUGUAAAGCUUGUGGGGCAUAUGAUUAUCACGACAGUCGUAACUGCCCGAACAAAACUACAACCUAAGCAAGCCUACUAGAUGAUAGGGUAACCUUGUUUUCACAAUGCCCCAACUUACAAACCCCUCUCAAAUCUCCUGUCUGGUUUAAUCUGAUGCCACAACAUCAACAUCAACAUCAACAUCACAGGUAACUAGGAAUCUAGAAGCAGUGGACAUAUUUAGGCACGUAGAUGAUCGUCAAGAAGCUGCUGAAUGCUUAGCAAGGGAAGCUUUGGGAAGAAUGAGCAAAAGCAACAUAAACAUUUCCUGCUUAGUUAUUCUUUUUGAGUACAAUUUUGUACAUUUUGGAACGUAUUUAAGUGUAACAACUAAUUAUUGUGGAAUACAAUUGGCACUGGAAACAAAUGAGAAAAUAUUUUUGCUGUGUUUA